UGGGGCUCGACUUCCCCAACCUGCCGUAUCUCAUCGACGGCCCCACCAAGCUGACCCAGAGCAACGCGAUCCUGCGCUACCUCGCCCGCAAGCACGACCUGUGCGGCCAGACGGAGCAGGAAAAGCAGCGCGUGGAUCUGAUGGAAAACCAGCUCAUGGAUUUCAGGAU